GAUGAAGAACGCAGCGAAAUGCGAUAAGUAAUGUGAAUUGCAGAAUUCAGUGAAUCAUCGAAUCUUUGAACGCACAUUGCGCCCGCCAGUAUUCUGGCGGGCAUGCCUGUUCGAGCGUCAUUUCAACCAUCAAGCCCCAGGCUUGUGUUGGAGCCCUGCGGCUGCCUCAGCCUCCCAAAACCAGUGGCGGGCUCGCUAUCACACCGAGUGCAGUAGUUUACUCUUCGCUCAGGGCGUGUGGCGGGUGCUAGCCGUAAAACCCCCAACUUCUCAAGGUUGACCUCGGAUCAGGUAGGAAUACCCGCUGAACUUAAGCAUAUCAAUAAGCGGAGGA
rnacentral:misc_RNA from 1 species